rnacentral:rRNA from 1 species
UACGUAGGCAGCGAGCGUUGUUCGGAAUUACUGGGCGUAAAGAGUGUGUAGGCGGUGCUCUAAGUUCGGUGUGAAAUCUCCCGGCUUAACUGGGAGGGUGCGCCGAAUACUGAAUGACUAGAGUGCGGGAGAGGAAAGUGGAAUUCCUGGUGUAGCGGUGAGAUGCGUAGAUAUCAGGAGGAACACCGGUGGUGUAGACGGCUUUCUGGACCGUAACUGACGCUGAGACACGAAAGCGUGGGUAGCAAACAGG